rnacentral:lncRNA from 1 species
CUUGUUUCAACUGGUUUGGGAUUUCGACAGUGUUGUGUUUGAAGAUAUGCUGGCAGUUUCACCAGUUUUGUGGAUUGAUAUGAGGUAGUGGGUUGGAUCUGGAGGGUUGGAUGGUGUUAUGGUUCUCCAUGGAAAGAGUCAUCUGGAUUGGAAGGAAUUAUAUCAUUUUUAGACAAAAAUCCAUUCAGCCAGUGGACAUUUUUCAGGAUGCUUCACGACAAGAUUGGAAGUGGAUUAGAGCAAAAAGAUAAAGGUGUUACUUAUCCUUGACACAUUGGCUAAACAACCCCAUGGUUUAUUUGGGGAGAAGUCUAACAUGAUAGGGUUCUUUGUAUGGUGGUAGGGGAAGAUAUUGUUGUAAGACCUGGUAUGUGUUAUGUGGAAGAUUGGGUUAGAGGGACUGAUUUUGCUUUAUUUUGUUUUGGUGAGGAAUUGGGGGGAAGGUGUUCUGCUUUUUGUUGGGGUAGAGGGCUAUAGAUUGUACAGUAUGUCUCGAUUGGUUUAUGUUGUCUCCGGUGUGAGGCAUCAAGUAUAUGGAAUGGCUAGCAUGUGGGUUUCAUAUGAUGCUGAGUUUGUUUUUUGUUUUCAGGACCACACUUUCUGAUAUUUUAAGUUGUUUGUCUUCCUGUUUGUGUGGGAUGAUUUCGUGUGCUAAUGGGUGUGAUGUGGUUUAGGAGGUAUGGGGAAAGCUUAUGGGAGGUAGGCAAUGAUCUUGUAGCUUAAGGUUGGGGUAGAGGAGGUUAUAUUAACUUCAGGGAAAUUUUGUCAUACGCUUGGUGGGCAAAAAUAAGAGGACUCGAAAGGCGCGAUAUUGGUUUGAUUCUAGACCAAUAAUUAUAACUGAUAAAUCAGAGGAUGUCAUGAGUCAUAUUGAUUCGAGAAGUUAUUUCGAUUU